rnacentral:rRNA from 1 species
CCUACGGGAGGCAGCAGUAGGGAAUAUUCGGCAAUGGGGGGAACCCUGACCGAGCAACGCCGCGUGAACGAAGAAGUUAUUCGUAAUGUAAAGUUCUUUUAACAGGGAAGAAAGAGAAAUUUGACGGUACCUGACGAAUAAGCUCCGUUUAACUACGUGACAGCAGCCGCGGUAAUACGUAGGGAGCGAGCGUAAUCCGGAAUUAUUGGGCGAAAGGGGUGCGUAGAUGGCAUAGUAAGUCUUUUGUAAAACUGCUGGGCUAAACCCAGUAGGGCAAAAGAUACGGGAAAGCUAGAGUAUGACAGAGGCAAGUGGAACUACAGGUGUAGCGGUAAAAUGCGUAAAUAUAUGUAAGAACACCAGUGGCGAAGGCGGCUUGCUGUGUCGAUACUGACAUUGAGGCACGAAAGCGUGGGGAGCAAACAGGAUUAGAUACCCCUGUAGUC